GGGGGCGUUCUGGAUUCGACGGGGAUGGUUCGAGCAUACAGUAGCGAGCCGGUGGGUUGCGGACACCGUUAACAACGCAUCCUAAACACAAACGCAAAAACAGAUUACGCUUUAGCUGCUUAAUCAGCUAAGCCUUGCUUCUCCAUCGUCCAUGUGGCGGAGUUAAGGCUCAUACUUUAGUGGACUACGCCUAAGGUCUCCGUCUGGGGCCGAGGGAAGAGAUUAAUCAGACUAGCCUGUUAGGCGCGGGUUGCCUGGUAGCCUGCAGGUGAAAUUUCACAGGUAACUGCGCUCGGAGAAGCUUAUGUAAUCGGAGUCUUCGGACGUGGGUUCGAUUCCCACCGCCUCCACCA
rnacentral:tmRNA from 1 species